rnacentral:rRNA from 1 species
AGUGAACGCUGGCGGUAGGCCUAACACAUGCAAGUCGAACGGCAGCACAGGAGAGCUUGCUCUCUGGGUGGCGAGUGGCGGACGGGUGAGGAAUACAUCGGAAUCUACUCUGUCGUGGGGGAUAACGUAGGGAAACUUACGCCAAUACCGCAUACGACCUACGGGUGAAAGCAGGGGACCUUCGGGCCUUGCGCGAUUGAAUGAGCCGAUGUCGGAUUAGCUAGUUGGCGAGGUAAAGGCCCACCAAGGCGACGAUCCGUAGCUGGUCUGAGAGGAUGAUCAGCCACACUGGAACUGAGACACGGUCCAGACUCCUACGGGAGGCAGCAGUGGGGAAUAUUGGACAAUGGGCGCAAGCCUGAUCCAGCCAUACCGCGUGGGUGAAGAAGGCCUUCGGGUUGUAAAGCCCUUUUGUUGGGAAAGAAAUCCAGCUGGCUAAUACCCGGUUGGGAUGACGGUACCCAAAGAAUAAGCACCGGCUAACUUCGUGCCAGCAGCCGCCGUAA